rnacentral:rRNA from 1 species
GAGUUUGAUCGUGGCUCAGAACGAACGCUGGCGGCAGGCUUAACACAUGCAAGUCGAACGGACGUAGCAAUACGUUAGUGGCGCACGGGUGAGUAACGCGUGGAUAUCUGCCUUUUGGUUCGGGAUAACCUUGGGAAACUAGGGCUAAUACCGAAUGGUUCCUACGGGAUAAAGAUUUAUCGCCAAAAGAUGAGUCCGCGUCCGAUUAGCUAGUUGGCGGGGUAACGGCCCACCAAGGCGACGAUCGGUAGCUGGUCUGAGAGGACGAUCAGCCACACUGGGACUGAGACACGGCCCAGACUCCUACGGGAGGCAGCAGUGGGGAAUAUUGGACAAUGGGGGCAACCCUGAUCCAGCCAUGCCGCGUGAGUGAUGAAGGCCUUCGGUUGUAAG